CCUACGGGUGGCAGCAGUGGGGAAUAUUGCACAAUGGGCGCAAGCCUGAUGCAGCCACGCCGCGUGAGUGAAGAAGUCCCUCUGGAUGUAAAGCUCUAUCUGCAGGGAGGAAAAUUACGGUACCUGUGUACUUUUCCACGGCUAACUACGUUCCAGCAGCCGCGGUAAUACGCCGGGAGCAAGCGUUAUCCGGAUUGACUGGGUGUAAAGGGAGCGUAGACGGCGCUGCAAGUCCGUUGUGAAAGCCCAGGGCUCAACCAUGGAACUGCUUUGGAAACUGGGGGGCUUGAGUGCGGGAGGGGUAGGCGGAAUUCCUAGUGUAGCGGUGAAAUGCGUAGAUAUCAGGAGGAACACCGGUGGCGAAGGCGGCCUACUGGACUGUAACUGACGCUGAGGCUCGAAAGCGUGGGGAGCAAACAGGAUUAGAUACCCGAGUAGUC
rnacentral:rRNA from 1 species